rnacentral:siRNA from 1 species
CUAAGGAUUUGCAUUCUCAUG